rnacentral:misc_RNA from 1 species
AAACUACGUUAAUCAGUGUAAACUGCACAAUAGCAGAACACUUGAACUUCGAACGCACAUUGCGGCUAAAGGGUAACUCCUCUAGCCUUAUCUGCGUGAGGGCUGUAUAGAGAUAUUGAACCCAUGUGUAGGGAGUGAUCACUUGAACGUGAGACUCCGCAGAGUGAACCUCGCUAGUGGUCUCUGACUGCUGACGUCUCAGGCAGGCAAGACCGCGGGUUAGCGAAGUGACUAUCACUCAGUCGCACAGACACAUCUACAACAGCCUCACGUCAGGUAAGAUCACCCGCUGAACUUAA